UACGGAGGGGGCAAGCGUUGUCCGGACUCACUGGGCGUAAAGGGUGCGUAGGCGGUUGCAUGCGUCGGCGCUGAAAUCCCUGGGCUUAACCCAGGGGCGCGUGCCGAUACGAUGCGACUUGAGGCUCGGAGAGGGUGGUAGAACUCCUGGUGUAGUGGUGAAAUGCGUAGAGAUCGGGAAGAACAUCGGUGGCGAAGGCGGCGCUCUGGACCGAGACUGACGCUGAGGCGCGAAAGCGUGGGGAGCAAACAGG
rnacentral:rRNA from 1 species